UCCAGAGUUUGAUCAUGGCUCAGGAUGAUACGCUGCGGCAUGCCUUAAUACAUGCAAGUCGUGCGGGGGUCUUCGGACCCUAGCGGCGAACGGGUGAGUAACACGUGGGCAACCUGCCCGUAAGACUGGGAUAACUCCGGGAAACCGGUGCUAAUACCAGAUAAUCUCUUUCUCCGCAUGGAGAAAGAGUAAAAGGCUUCGGCCACUUGCGGAGAACCCGCGGC
rnacentral:rRNA from 1 species